rnacentral:pre_miRNA from 1 species
AUUUUACUCCCUCCAUUGCACAAUACAUGCCUUCUAUUUGUCAAAAUAUAUAUGUAUCUAGACAUGUUUUAGUAUAUAGGUACAUCCAUUUUUGGACAAAUGGAAGUCAAGUAUUUUGGAAUGGAGGGAGUACACA